rnacentral:RNase_P_RNA from 1 species
GAGGAAAGUCCGGGCUCCAUAGGGCAGGGUGCCAGGUAACGCCUGGGGGGGAAACCCACGACCAGUGCAACAGAGAGCAAACCGCCGAUGGCCCACGCAAGUGGGAUCAGGUAAGGGUGAAAGGGUGCGGUAAGAGCGCACCGCGCGGCUGGUAACAGUCCGUGGCACGGUAAACUCCACCCGGAGCAAGGCCAAAUAGGGGUUCACAAGGUACGGCCCGUACUGAACCCGGGUAGGCUGCUUGAGCCAGUGAGCGAUUGCUGGCCUAGAUGAAUGACUGUCCACGACAGAACCCGGCUUA